CAGAAUUUCGGACCAGUGAGUUGUCAAAUCGUGUUAUCAGAAAUUUUAAGGAGCGUUUUAUUGUAUUUCACAUUUAAACAGAAACCUUUAAAUUUGAUACACUGGAAUAUUGUCGGUAGCUAGAGGUGUACAAUCAUAAGAGAAUAUCUCCGCUCUUCUGGUUACGCCAUGUUGAUUUGAUUGUCACAUAGUAAAUAUCCAUUAAUGUUCUAACAUCAUGAAAAAAGGACAACAAAACAUGCCUACUCAUAAACCAGUGAAAUACAGUCAUUUGAUAUCUGUUCUUCAUCGUUGCGGCUCUAGGAUAACAAAGGAAUUGUUUCUGAAAAGAGUACAGGACUUAACACCAGAAGGCCAUGAACCUUUUCCAUGGACUGUCGAUCAGUUUCUGGAAGCAAACAGAGAAACUAUUCUAAAAUGUAGACAAGGACAAGAUCUGAAACGUAAGUUGUUUCCUGGAUAUGCAAGACAAACAAAUGUAGAUUAUUGGGAUCUGACCACGUUUUGUUUCCUUCUGUUCAACGUCUGUGAUCUACGGCCAGCGGUCCGACAAGACAUAACUUGUUUACGACAGUUAAGAAACAAGCUAGUUCAUUUAGGAGGAGGCGACGUCACCGAUCAAAAGUAUCAAACAUACCUUGACACAAUGAAAGGUGUAUUGAAUCGAUGUACGAACGAGUUAGAUAAACCGGAGCUUAUGGCAGAACUAGAAAAUGUUAUAGCAGAAAGUAUGCAAACUGUACAAGUGGCGGAUGUUGAAGAAGACGAAGAAGAAUUGAAACAGUGGUACAUGGAAGAGCAAAAGUUCCACGUCGGGAUAGAAAUAGCACAAGAUGGUCAAGAUAUAGAUGAAGUGAAAGCAACAUUGCUGAAUUUUCAAAUGAAGUUUGAGGAAAAUGAGAUGUCGACGAAAAUGGAUUUAUCAUUUACAAUUGGAAUACGCGUCAUAGGAAUGAACAGGCAAGCAGAAGAAGUUCUCUCGGCGGCACAACAAUGCAGUGCAUCCGGGAAAGUCCCAUCUGAAAGAUCUUCUGCCAGAACGAUUAGCAUAGGUAUCGAGAGAAUCAAGGAAGAUGUUCGUCAAAUGGGACCAGAUGUCGAAAGUGACAGUAAAGGCUCAGUUAUGUUCAAAUUUACAUGCUUCUCCGUAACGUCUUUGAUAUACUUAGUCGACUAUUUCACUGGUGCGACCAUGCAAAGACGUCUACAAGAUAUCACAAAGGCAAUAGAAGAUAUGGUAGAUGACAUGGUAGCAUUGCAGAUUUAUAUACCUCCGACCAUCUACCAGGAAGUCAUCAAGAAAUUAGAAAAGAUAUACACUUCAGAUGAAGCUUGUCGGCUGCAAUCCAAACAAAUACGAAACAGAAAGGUGUUCAAUGACCCAAUAUAUGGUCAGAUAGAGUUACAUCCCUUGUGCGUAAAAAUUAUUGACACGCCGCAGUUCCAGAGACUGCGAUAUAUCAAGCAGCUUGAAACCGUUUAUUUAGUCUACCCUGGUGCCAGUCAUAACAGGUUCGAACAUUCCAUUGGCGUUUGUCACUUAGCCGGGAAACUUUUGAGAGUAUUGAAAGAACGCCAGCCAGAGUUAGAUAUCACAACGAAAGAUAUUCUAUGUGUGGAAAUAGCCGCGCUCUGUCAUGAUCUUGGCCAGGGACCAUUUUCCCAUGUAUUUGAACAUAAAUUCAUACCAGCAGUUAUUCCAGACACGGAAUGGAAGCAUGAAAAGGCUUCUGUGAAGAUGUUUGAUUACAUGUUGCGAGACAAUGAUGGUAAACUUCAUGACUAUGUCCGACAGAUGAUACCAGGCUUCGAAGAAAGAGAUAUAGAAUUUAUUAGGGAGCUGAUAUAUGUUCCUUUUGAUUUGAACGCUGAGGUUUGGCCGUGUCGGGGAAGAAACAAGAACAAGAGCUUCUUGUAUGAGGUGGUAGCUAAUCGUGUGAACGGAAUCGACGUUGAUCGGUGGGACUACAUCGCUCGCGACAGUUUGAUGCUGGGCAUGAAAACUACCUUUGAACACAACAGAUUAAUACAGCACGCUAGAGUACUCAUGGCAGACGGAAGGAGACAAAUCUGCUACAGAGACAAGGCAGCCCAAGAUUUGUAUGACAUGUUUUACGCCAGGAUGACUUUAUACAGGAGAGCGUAUCAACACAAGACACACAACAUCAUUGGCAUGAUGAUACGCGACGCUUUGAUUGCUGCUAAUGAUGAUAUUUCAUUUCAUGGAGAAAACGGAGAUCGACUUCGGAUGUCUGACACUAUUCACGACAUGAAGGCGUAUACACAUCUGACCGAUGAUAUUCUGCAAAAAAUACAGCGGUCCUCCAAACGUGGUUUGGAGAAAUCUAGAGCUAUAAUAAACAGGAUACUUUACAGAGAGUUCUAUAAAUGCAUCACUCAAACUCAAGUUGAUGUUAAACAGAAAGGUUGGAUAAAGAGGACGGCCGUUCAAGAAAAUUUGUUCAACAAGAUUAAACAAAAACGGACUGAUUUGACAGAUUUAUCAGAAAUUGUAGAAAUCGACGUGAGUACUCUUUUGAUCUAAAUAGAAUUGCUUAGUAAUAAAGAGGCCUGGAUGGCGAAAUAUCACUCCUUAAGGAUUUAGUUUAUUUUCUCCCGAGCAGCAUAUGAGGGUAGUGAACCUUGACUACGGAAGUAAGGACAAAGACCCAGUAACCAAGGUCUGGUUUUUCAAGAAAGGACAAGAAGACACAGCCAUUAGAAUAAACAAAGAACAG
rnacentral:misc_RNA from 1 species